CCUCGGGUGAGUUUUCUGGUGCUUCUGCAGGUGAGAAAGAACCCUCCGGUGCGCCUGCGGGAGAAGAAUCAUCAUCGUCGUCGUCGUCGUCGUCAUCCUCGUCUUCAGGUAAACCAUUUGGUGCUCCAACCGGUGAAUCUGCUAUUGAUCCUUUGUCGUUGGUUCCAGUGCUGAUUCACAUAAGAGUAGUUUUAGUUUGAAAUUAAAACGUAAUUAGGCAGAAUUUAAAAAAUAUAUUGAGUAAUUAUUUUGGAUAUUGAUUUGUUACUUGUCGGAGUCUAAAAAGUCAGCCAAGGAUGAGCCUUCGCCUUCGUAAGGUUCGUCCUCGGCAGGAGAAGAGUCAGAAGAGUCAGAGGAGGCGCCGCCACUUAGGGCUGAGCCGAAAUAAUCAUUGACAGCUGCUUGGGCCGCGGCCCCACCCAUAGCCAUCCGGGCCUUGUCCAAUGCGUCUUGGGAGAGGCCUCCCUGGCCCAACAGAUUCUUCCAAUCAUCUUCCUGGCCCAAAAUCGAACGGAAUGGCAGAGCCAACACCACCGAAAACACCAAAAGUAAUGAUAUCUUGGCCAUUUUCCCCUUAUUCCUUUACCCAGGAAUCAAGGAUUGCAGAAACGCCUUGAGAAGUUGUGAACCAAGGGUGGCAACGAAAUGCAACUUUGUUUUAUUACAAUCCGCUUUUUAUAUACACUCUGCACCAACCCAUCUUAGCCUCACAUAACGUCUUUUUUCCUCCCCGUCUCUCCCGUUCUCGUUACUUAUCUUUGGAAAUUUUGUUUUUCCGUUUUCUUGGUCCUGCCUUUUCCUCGCUCUCCAUUUUUAUUUCUUAAUCCUAAUUUUCGAUUCAUAUUUUUCGCAUAUAUAUUUACAUACUUUCUUAGGUUCUUUUUUUUCACUUGUAAGACCACAUAAACUAAAUUUAUGUUUUAUUAUAUAGUUGCUCUUUCUCAUAUACUUGGAUAAUAUUUAGAAAAAGAAAAAUUACAUACAAUGUUAUAUUAUAAGUAUUGUUCUCUAAUCAUAUUUAAACAUUUAUUUCAAUAAUAUAUUUAUUAAGAUAGAUAUUACCUAGAUAAAAUUUUAAAUACAAUCAAAGAAUAAUUCCUAUCAUAUCAUAGUUACUGUGAAUAAAUUUUCUCCCACUUAGAAUUACUGGCGGAGUUUAUACAUUCUUGAAUAUGUCGUUGACUUAUUCUUCUGUUUUAAUAUGGACCCAUUAUGGUUCUAAUUUUUUAUGCUUUAUUAUUGCUUUUGCUUUUGCUAUCUACGGUAACCUUAUUGUGUACAUGAUUUUUUCCACCUUAAUGCUCAAGUAUUAAAUUUUAUUUGGCUCUCGAAAAGGUUGAAGCUCCACCACUGUUUACGUUAUUCUCGAAAUUAAAUAUAUUUGGGGUUCUUAAAAUGAUUUGUUUUAGCAUUUAUUACGAAUUUAUUCUAUGAAGCAAUAUUGUACUUAAUCGUCGUGCAUAGGUUGAAUAAAAAAUAAACAGAAAUUCUGGUGAAUAUGUCCUUAUAAGAACAAAAUAUAGUUAACAUAAGCUUGACUGGUGUACUUCAAAUAGUUACUAUCGAACACGAAGUAUGUUUGAGGAAGAUCUGAUGGAUAUAACACCUUGCGAAAAACUCUUUUUCACUUCUACUGCACAUUUGGCUUUUUUAAUCUUAUUGAUUGCUAUAUGUGGUCUCUAUUCAAAGUAUAAAAUAUUCUUUUUACCAUUAAUUGUUGAUGAUAAAUCAAGAUACAUACAUGGGUACAAGUGAAAAUUAAGACAGAAGCUAGACAGCAUAUGUUCAGAUUCAAUUUUUGCAUUUCUAUCAAAAUUAUCAUUCAUCAUUUAUCUUACCUUAAAACACCCCAACAAAAUGGGGUAUAGCACCAAAAUAUUCUCAAUAUUACUAUGUCUCGUUCUAAAUCAAAUGUUCUUGUAGAAUUUUGAGGAUUUUGCUGUUUGUAAAACUACCCAGUUAGUAUUGUGUUUAUGUUUGAGUUUUAACUUGUAGUUAAAAGAAUAAAAUAAAAUGAUUAACUUGUUUAACCAUUCAAACUUGUCACUACAAAUAAUUUUUAAUAUCUGGCAAAGUUACAUCACAUGAUAUUUCUUACAAACUACAAUGGGGGUGAAUAUAACGGGAAAAGAAACACAGCAAGUGAGCACACCCACAUAAGUUGCACAUGUCUUCGUGGAAACUUGCAACUCCACAGUUCUAAAGUGGUUGCUUCAUCGGAGAGUCAGAUUCCUCAUUCUCCUGGUGAAGAAAACAAUAAGCUUAUAUUCAGAAUAAGAACAAAUUCAGCAUUUUAAGAUGUGCCUAAAUAAGUAGACAACUGCAUGUGCCAAAAAACUACACCCAAUGAUUACAGGUGAGUUGAGGAGAGGGCUAAUAUCCCCGAGGAUAAUGAUAAACUUCGAUGCAGGAAUCAAUGAUUAUUACCCAAUACCAUAUCGACAUGUUGAUAAUGAUGAAUAAUACUAGCAUCAUGAUGGACAUUAUCCAAACCCAUAGAUCUCAGGUGCAUGUGACAUGAAACUUGAUGGAUCAAAUUUCACGUGCUCUCUGCUUACAAUAUAAUAAUAUAAAACAAUUCACCGUUUUUUGGGUUGCUGUUACAAACUCAGGACAUUCUGAUCAUUGUAAUCAAAAGCUCUAAAAAAUGAGAAGUGAGAAGAAAACUAUUUUGAAUUCGAAAGACUGAUGAAAUUGGCAAUGCAGAUGCAAAGGGUUCUCCCUAAUCUAAUGAAAUCUCCAAAAACCUCUUACCCAGUUUCGGGGUUUUCAACAAGAGUGAUUUCCUCCUCUAAUACAAGUGGGGAAUAAUAGACGAUAACACACAAGACGAAAGAAACACACAUUCUAAUAAGUUGAUUGUUAUGAGAAGAAACUAGCACACAUAAGAUUUUAUGCUUGUUGUCCUAGAUAGAUGGUGUCCAGAAAUGGAAACAAGUGAAAGAAAGAAGGCAUUACCUUUGCUCAUUGUCAAUUUGUCUUCCAUUGAUGCUGGCACCUCUGUACCUGGGUAGUGGGAUUUGAUCUCGCUCAAUUCGAAUGACGUCUUCCUGGAGGAUCUCAUAGUGCAUUUUCACCUCUUGUACGGAUUUUCCACCCACGGCAUCAGCUACAUGUUGCCACCGAUUUGGGUCAUCAGGGCCAUGAACAGCAAGAGCAUCCUCAAAACGUCUAUUCUCUUCUCGUGUCCAACCCAUUAAUGGUGUCUAAGUAUGUUAGAAAGAGUGAAGUAAGAAGUAGUGAGAAAAGAUUGUGGAUGUGAGUGGUUAAAUAGGGGAGAGUGAAGUGGUGUGCAAGUUGGCGAAUACUUUUUACGGAUUCAACAAGAUAUGAUUCCCUUGGCGGGUAUGUGUAGCGGGGUCAGGUACCCUUUCAUUUGGAUUUGAUCCCUUCAGGCUUAUAAACCUAUGAUUUGAGUCUCUGUGUUGUGUUGUGACCUUUAAGCCUGCUCCAUUUCAUUUGAUGUUGGACUCAGUAUUGUAAUGUUAAUAUCAUUUCUUCAGAUUUUUACAGGCUGGUGGUGGUGGCGGUGGGGAUUAGAUACCAAUUCCCACUGCAAUACAGAUAUAUAUUCGCUAACAAUAUGUAAGGCUAACAUAUUCUGCUUCUUUCUAACAUGAAUAUAGAAUAAUAAUCCUGUCACUUAUUUUGCAACUUGUAACGGGUAAUAUACUUUCUCCAUCACCCAUUAAUAUAUUUUACAUUUCAAUUCCAGAAUAAUCACCAUUGCAUUGCUUCAAACCCUCAUCAACCACUUUAUAGAACUUGCAUCAAAAAUAGUGCCACCACUUUCUCAUGACUUUAUUUUUAAACAAAAUAUUUGGAGUCUGAAACUUACUUGAUGAUUUUCUGGGUUUCACAACUUGUUUGAUCAGGCUGGGAGAUCCCAAGUAAAGAGUUUGCGUGGCUGAGAGGUGAAACCCUUCUCUGUUUUCAACAUGGUUUGCAUUUGCCUCUGCCAAAGCCAUAACACAGAUUUAUUCUAUUUAACAAAAUAUUUUUCCAGUUUCAGAACAUGUUGUCUCACAGUUACUUGUUAUUUUGUUGAAUAGUCAUUGGUUCGGUGCCAGAAUUUGACAAUGCAAAUUCAAGAUGGGAAAAAGAAAGAAAAGACAAAGAAAUCUUAAAAUGAGAUGGUUUAGAUGGUAAGAAUGAGUACAAAAGGAC
rnacentral:lncRNA from 1 species